CCGACCCUCCUCUCGGGCGGCCAUAAAGUGCGGCACCCAAACCCUAACCACCCCUCCUCCUGUUGACGUGACCCAAUUCCUCACCAGACGCCACCGGUGUGAGCAGGACCGGGUUGUGCCGCCACCGCUGUAGACUCGCUCCUUCGCCGUCGUUUCGGGAUCGACAAGGAGACUUGGCGACGCGCCGGGUUACGUGGAGCGUGACUGUGGCGGAUUAUGGCCGGGAAAGCCAGGGAGGUUGGCUGAAUUUCUCGCCGGAGUGGGGCUCGGACCCGAAUCUGUGGUUCCUCGUCGCUUGGACUCGUCACCGCCCCAAAUCCCGGAGAAGAACAAGUGGUCCAGGAGGAGCCUUACAACGAAGAGUACGAGCUUAUCUAGGUGGCGUCUCCCAAUCAGCUUGAUGGCGCCAAAGAAUAAUAUUUAGUUCGCUUUAUUGCUAUCAUUUAUUUUUGUAAGACUUCCGCUAUGUAAUAAUGAUACUUGUGACAUUUAUCUCUAUACACUUUGUCAUUAUAUGUGUUGUUCUUCUUUGGUAC